rnacentral:rRNA from 1 species
CCUACGGGUGGCAGCAGUGAGGAAUAUUGGUCAAUGGGCGGAAGCCUGAACCAGCCAAGUAGCGUGCGGGAUGAAGGCCCUACGGGUCGUAAACCGCUUUUGCACGGGGAUAACACCCUCCACUUGUGGAGGUCUGCAGGUACCGUGCGAAUAAGGGCCGGCUAAUUCCGUGCCAGCAGCCGCGGUAAUACGGAAGGCCCGAGCGUUAUCCGGAUUCAUUGGGUUUAAAGGGUGCGUAGGCGGAAUAUCAAGUCAGCGGUAAAAAUUCGGGGCUCAACCCCGUCGUGCCGUUGAAACUGAUGUUCUUGAGUGGGCGAGAAGUAUGCGGAAUGCGUGGUGUAGCGGUGAAAUGCAUAGAUAUCACGCAGAACUCCGAUUGCGAAGGCAGCAUACCGGCGCCCAACUGACGCUGAAGCACGAAAGCGUGGGUAUCGAACAGGAUUAGAUACCCCAGUAGUC